rnacentral:rRNA from 1 species
UGGGGAAUCUUGCACAAUGGGGGCAACCCUGAUGCAGCGACGCCGCGUGAGCGAUGAAGCCCUUCGGGGCGUAAAGCUCUUUCGACCGGAACGAUAAUGACGGUACCGGGAGAAGAAGCUGCGGCUAACUACGUGCCAGCAGCCGCGGUAAUACGUAGGCAGCAAGCGUUGUUCGGAGUUACUGGGCGUAAAGAGUGCGUAGGCGGUUUUCUAAGUUCGGUGUGAGAUCUCCCGGCUUAACUGGGAGGGUGCGCCGAAGACUGGGAAGCUGGAGUGUGGGAAAGGCAGGCGGAAUUCCUGGUGUAGCGGUGAAAUGCGUAGAUAUCAGGAGGAACACCGGCGGUGUAGACGGCUUGCUAGACCAUAACUGACGCUGAGGCACGAAAGCGUGGGUAGCAGACA